rnacentral:rRNA from 1 species
AAGCAAGACCGCGAGGUGGAGCAAAUCCCUAAAAAGGCGUCUCAGUUCGGAUUGCAGGCUGCAACUCGCCUGUAUGAAGUCGGAAUUGCUAGUAAUCGUGGAUCAGCAUGCCACGGUGAAUACGUUCCCGGGCCUUGUACACACCGCCCGUCACACCAUGAGAGCCGGGAACACCCGAAGUCCGUAGUCUAACCUAUAUGGAGGACGCGGCCGAAGGUGGGUUUGGUAAUUGGGGUGAAGUCGUAACAAGGUACC